GAUGGACGCUGGCGGCGUGCCUAAUACAUGCAAGUCGAGCGAAUGGAUUAAGAGCUUGCUCUUAUGAAGUUAGCGGCGGACGGGUGAGUAACACGUGGGUAACCUGCCCAUAAGACUGGGAUAACUCCGGGAAACCGGGGCUAAUACCGGAUAACAUUUUGAACCGCAUGGUUCGAAAUUGAAAGGCGGCUUCGGCUGUCACUUAUGGAUGGACCCGCGUCGCAUUAGCUAGUUGGUGAGGUAACGGCUCACCAAGGCAACGAUGCGUAGCCGAACUGGGAGGGGGAUCGGCCACACUGGGACUGAGACACGGACCAGACUCCGACGGGAGGCAGCAGUAGGGAAUCUUCCGCAAUGGACGAAAGUCUGACGGAGCAACGCCGCGUGAGUGAUGAAGGCUUUCGGGUCGUAAAACUCUGUUGUUAGGGAAGAACAAGUGCUAGUUGAAUAAGCUGACACCUUGACGGUACCUAACCAGAAAGCCACGGCUAACUACGUGCCAGCAGCCGCCGUAA
rnacentral:rRNA from 1 species